ACAUGACCCGAGUCCCCGGGAAGAUGGCGGAGCAGGUGGGCGCCUCGCCCGAGGACCCCUGGGGGAAGGACAACGUGGCAAUGGCAGGUGGACAGAAGAGGGACAUUCUCCUUCCUCAGUACUUUCUCAGCUUCUGGGCAGCCCCCGUGUAGACUUGGUACCAGGAAGGGGUGGUGAGUGCCAGACAGCAGAGCUGGUGUGUUUGAAAUAUCGCGGCUUGUUCUUGUGGAAAAUGUCCUCCAGUUUUGGUGGAUUAUAAGCCCCAAAGACUAUGGCCCCUUCCCAGCCUUAAUCCCACAGAGCCCCGUACCCAACAAGGAACCACAUGGUCUGUGAAGAAAACUACAGCAAGUACAGAUGAGGAAUUGAAAGCACUGACCGCUUACUCAUAGCCACUUAAGCGGGAGGCAGAAAGCUGAGAACUAUUCAUGUCUCCUUAGAAGGAUGUCCAGGCUUCUCAGGUCCACUUCUGCCAUAUUCUCUCCCGGUGAGGGAUCCUGGAUGAUUCCUCUGCAAACUAAUAAAGCCAAGCAAGAACUAUCACUACACAGAGCUCUAUUGAUGUGUUCAGUCUUACCCGCAUCCCUGCCUCCCUCUGCAGUCCCAUCUACAUCUGCCCCACUUGAUGAACAGAGACUGAGUCAACGCCAACAGACACCGCUCUACUCCACUAUCCACUACCCUGCAGGAUUUUUGUCCCCUCCUACUUCUUCACCGCUCCCAAUACACAGCUUUUGGGGCUGCACACCUAGCAUGCCUGCCCGUGUCCUAGGAAGGGAGACAGCACAAGGAGAGGAAUGGAGAGAGAAGGUCCAUGGGGCUGAUCAAUGGACACGUUCAGUAGACAAUUUGGGGACAACGUGGCAAUGGCAGGUGGACAGAAGAGGGACAUUCUCAGCUUCUGGGCAGCCUCCGUGUAGACUUGGUACCAGGAAGGGGUGGU